rnacentral:lncRNA from 3 species
AAUCAGCCAGAAUCAGCGUUACCUCUUCUAAAUUCGUGCCACGUGGCCUCCUCUCCCUUCGGCGGCUUUGCCCGCAUCCUCGCCUUGUUUGGUUGGGCCGUUCCCGGCCAGGAUUGGGGUCCAAUCCCCGUCGAUCACCCCGGCGAGGAAACAAUCCAGGCCCAUCCGAAAUUGUGUGUUCGGUUAAGCCCAGUCUGGGUUUUACCCCGGCCUAUCCCGGCCUUUCCCCCUCACCCAGGCCCGGGAAAAAAAUCAACUUCUCGUGUGGCGUGGAAAAAUUCCUCACGACGGGAGCCGGGAGGCGACGCGCAACACGCGUAG